rnacentral:lncRNA from 1 species
UGCUCUCCAGGUGGGCGCCUGACUGCUGAACUUGAAUUGUAUUCCCGUGCUCUCCAGGUGGGAGCCUGAUUGCUGAACUUGAAAUGUAUUCCCGUGCUCUCCAGGUGGGCGCCUGAUUGCUGAACUUGAACUAUAUUCCCGUGCUCUCCAGGUGGGCGCCUGAUUGCUGAACUUGAAAUGUAUUCCCGUGCUCUCCAGGUGGGCGCCUGACUGCUGAACUUGAACUGUAUUCCCGUGCUCUCCAGGUG